CUUAUUUUGGCAGUACCAGGAGCAUGGGAUGCAAAGAGGCAAAUUUCAUCUUGAAUCAUAAAACUUCCAAUAAUUCUUUAAAGCUGGCAAAAAGGGGAAUGAGUUGCCGUGGUAGGAGUUGUUGUUGUUCAGUUAUUUCAGUUGUGUCUGAUACUUUGUGACCUCAUUUGGGAUUUUCUUGGCAAAGAUACUGGAGUGGUUUUGCCAUUUCCUUCUUUAGUUCAUUUUACAGAUGAGGAAACUGAGGCAAUUGGGUGGAUGGUAGAUGCCCCUUUCUUGGCGAGCUUCAAGCAGGGACAGGAUGAACACUUGCCAGGCGUGUUAUCAUGGGGGUUCUUGUUCUGUAUGGGUUGGAUUAUAGAGUUGCUGAAUUCCCUUCCAACUGUGACUCUCUGGGUUUUGCAUUUGGAAGAGGGGGUGCAGGAUAGUCAUUGUGCUGAUAGCAAAAGUAGGGCUUGAAUUUGAGAUAAGGGUAGGAUAUUGAACUAGAAACAGUCUUGCUACAAAGCUUCGUGUGCUCAAAUGAGAGCUGAAGGUGAAGGACGUUCCCAAGGAGUGCAGGAAGAAUAGAAGAAGUCCAAGGACACAACCUGAACAAACAUCUCAAGGAUCAAGGAAGGCAGGCAGGAAGAGGGAAGAAGAGAAGGAACCCUUAGAGAGGGAGGGUUCAGUUUUGCCCUUGUGUGAAGACAUCUGGAAAUGACUGACGUGAAAAGAAAAGUCAUUUUAAAAAAGCAUAACCAAAAAAUAAAAAAAAGAGGAAACCCAGACUCAUUUGAAAGGUGGCUUCUAGAAUCCUUGGACUUGGAUCAAUAGAAAAGUAAUCCCUCAAGGAAGAACUCUCAAGCUUGGGUUUAGAACCUCUCACCAUCUAGAUCACAUAGUUCCUCUCAGCAUAGUCCAGUCAUAUUAUGAAAGAGGGCAUGUGGUUCCCUUGUGCUUUGACCCAGUUAAAGUCCAGAGGAAAGAAGGAAAUAAAUUGCCCAUGAUCACCCAGGGAGCAAGUGGAAGAGCCAUAAUUUGAACCCAUGUUCAAAUUUUUGAACUUUGAGUCUCCAGGAAGAGGGACGGAGAACUGGAGGAUCUAUUAUCAACAUUAUAUGAAGCUGUGUGUCCUUUGGAAUCCCCUUCUUACCCUGACUGGACAAGCACACUGUGGCGACUGGCCACCGAGGCAGCGACUAUCAAAAUAUUAAAACCAAUUGCAGCUUUCUUUCAGAUGACCGUGGGUGUGAGAUGUAGCUUUCAAAUGAAUUAAAAUUAUCUGUUAAUUCCCUCCCAGUUCCAUUCUCUGAGGUGGUUCAGAUUUAUACAAUAUUUCUGAAAGCUCUUUUCAUAAGGCAUAUGCACUUAGAGCAUUAAUGAAGUCAGGCGGGCUCUGCUGGUCUCAUUUCAGGGAGCUAAUUGUUAAGUGUUUUGCAUACUUACAAUUGAACUAAAUUAUUCCAUGCCUAGCUGGUUUCAGGAAGUGUUAAUUAUAUUUCAGUAAGGGAAAAUCAAGGCUGAAAAAUCAUCCACUUAGACCUUAUCUAUUUAUGAACAUCAUAUUCUAAAGAUCUCAAACAUAUUUUAACAGCACGUGAAUAUUUAGAUUAAUAUUUCUGAGUCAAAGAAACCUUUAUUCCCUCUUUGAAUUGGCUUGGAGGGCCAUCCUGAGAGCUAGAUUCCCUCUCUAAGAAGCGGAUGUGAUGGAGGCAGAGCUUUGUUUGGGUGAGGCUCCAAAAGCCCUGCUCCGAGAGCCAAAAGAAGCAUUAGUUCAUUUCAUUUCUUCUCCCAGCCUUCCUUAAGUGAUAUGAACUCGUUAAUUUGCGGGUCCAGCACAGACAUUUUGGGGUUCAGAACAGGUUCCUCCCGUGAGAAGCACUUGCUGGAGAAUUGUUUCCUUUGGACCGGAGUUUUCAUUGGUGCCUCAGAGAGACGGAAUGGCUCCACGGUGAGGUUUGGUCCCAGGGUGCCGUCGAGGAGCGUCCAGGAUUUUGAGAAGAGGGUUGGAAAAGCGGGAGGGAGGAAGAGAGAAAGCGCUACGGCGCAAGGCUGGGUCCCUCCCCACCCAUCACUUUUCCCUUGCCCCCGAAUCUCUGUUCCUUCUCGGUGACUGAGAGAAAUUCUCUCUCUGGGAGAGUGAGAACUAUUUUUUCUUCUGAUAGGCAAUUUAUGCUUCUUUUUAUGGUAAGUCGCCUGCAGGUCUUUGUACCAGAGGUGCUGGUCUCCCAUGAGCCACUAGGUGGCGCCAUAUUGUGUAGACCACUGACCUUUACCCCGCAGAUGCCUCUCUGGGCAGUUAGGUGGCGCCAUAGCAAACAGACCAUUGGCUCUCACGCCAGAGCGUCUGGUCUUCCUUGGGCCCCUAGGGGGCGCCAUGGUGCAUAGAACACUGGUCCUCAUCCCGGAGGUGCUGCUCCCCCAAUGGACGCUAGGUGGCGCCAUGGCGCAUAGAGCGCUGGUCCUCACCCCAGAGGGCGGAUCCUCCCUGAUACACCAUAUACAUAGUAAGCACGCCAUCCAGUGAUGGUUGAAAAUAUGGGGCCAUUGCACUGGUGUAAAUUAAAGAGCAGGGGACAGUUUAAAGACACUGUCUAUUUCUGUCAAGCAAUGAAUAGGUAUUUAUUAAGUGCCCAUUGUAUGCCAGGCCCUAUGCCAAGCACUGUAGUGGUAAUUAAUUCAUCAAUAUUCAUGGAGCAGCCUGGGGCAAGGCACUGUCUAGGUUGUAGGGGGGAAUGCCAAGGCGAGCUGGAUUCCUGACUCUAAGGAGGAGUUGAGGCAAAGGUUUUCAGGAGAACCUACAGCAGUUGUCAAUCAGCAUUGGAAGAGGGAUUUUCCUCAUUGGGAGUUCCCUACACCAAACUCAAAUAGAAAUGGGGGUCACUAACCCAUAGAUACGGAUCCCUCAGGGCUGAAUAUUUACUAAAAAAACUACAUGUUGACAUUUUCCUUGACAUUUCUAUUGUGUUUUCAUUUAAUUUGUUAAAUAUUUCCCAAUAAUUAUUGCCUUUUUAAACCUUGCCUUCUGUCUAAGGAUUGAGUCUGUGUAUUGGUUCCAAGGCAGAAGAGUGGUUAAAGGCCUGGCAUUAGGGAUUAGGUGACUUGUCCAAGGUCACACAGCUAGGAAGUGUCUGAGGCCAGAUUUGAACCUAGGAUCUCCUGCCUCUAGGCCUGGCUUUCAAUCCACUGAGCCAUCCAGCUGUCCAAUCCCACCCCCCUCCCCAAUAUAUUUUAACCUAGUUCUGGUCCUCUGCCCUGCACCAAUGAAAUCAGGACCAAAACAAAAAAAAAUCUGCUGAGAUAAGAAAUGCUCGAGGUGAUUCCAGAAGGGAGAAGCUUUAAAUAAAAGGUACCUAAUGGAAUCAAAGGUAUAUUAAUGACCCUGAGGUGCCAGCUCUGCUAGAGUGACAAAUGGGAUCGGUAGUGACAAAUUAAGAAAAUUUAAAAAAAGGGGGGAAGGUGAGUCAGAGAAGUCUGCCUGGAUGAAACUGGUCUUGAGCCGUACCUCCAA